UGGGGAAUAUUGCACAAUGGGCGCAAGCCUGAUGCAGCCAUGCCGCGUGUGUGAAGAAGGCCUUCGGGUUGUAAAGCACUUUCAGCGAGGAGGAAGGUGGUGAGCUUAAUACGCUCAUCAAUUGACGUUACUCGCAGAAGAAGCACCGGCUAACUCCGUGCCAGCAGCCGCGGUAAUACGGAGGGUGCAAGCGUUAAUCGGAAUUACUGGGCGUAAAGCGCACGCAGGCGGUUUGUUAAGUCAGAUGUGAAAUCCCCGGGCUCAACCUGGGAACUGCAUUUGAAACUGGCAAGCUAGAGUCUCGUAGAGGGGGGUAGAAUUCCAGGUGUAGCGGUGAAAUGCGUAGAGAUCUGGAGGAAUACCGGUGGCGAAGGCGGCCCCCCUGGACGAAGACUGACGCUCAGGUGCGAAAAGCGUGGGGCAGCAAACAGGAUUAGAUACCCUGGUAGUCCACGCUGUAAAACGAUGUCGAUUUUGGAGGUUGUGCCCCUUGAGGCGUGG
rnacentral:rRNA from 1 species